CUACGGGAGGCAGCAGUGGGGAAUUUUGGACAAUGGACGCAAGUCUGAUCCAGCCAUGCCGCGUGCGGGAAGAAGGCCUUCGGGUUGUAAACCGCUUUUGUCAGGGAAGAAAUCUUCUGGGUUAAUACCUCGGGAGGAUGACGGUACCUGAAGAAUAAGCACCGGCUAACUACGUGCCAGCAGCCGCGGUAAUACGUAGGGUGCAAGCGUUAAUCGGAAUUACUGGGCGUAAAGCGUGCGCAGGCGGUUAUGCAAGACAGGUGUGAAAUCCCCGAGCUCAACUUGGGAACUGCACUCGUGACUGCAUAGCUAGAGUACGGUAGAGGGGAGUGGAAUUCCGCGUGUAGCAGUGAAAUGCGUAGAUAUGCGGAGGAACACCGAUGGCGAAGGCAGCUCCCUGGACCUGUACUGACGCUCAUGCACGAAAGCGUGGGGAGCAAACAGGAUUAGAAACCCGAGUAGUCC
rnacentral:rRNA from 1 species